GUGCUCACUUCUGUGGCACAUAUACCGAGAAUUAGAGUGAUACAGGAAAAUUAUCAUAGUUUCUGCACAAGAAUGACAUGCCAGUUCAUGAAGAUUCUUUCUGUACU
ensembl:snRNA U6 U6 spliceosomal RNA